AGAGUUGUUUUCUUUUUCUGAGGACGGGAAAGUCACAGCCAGGGCUUCCUGUUUGCGACUGUGUUCAUGUUGGUGAUUUGUAUUAGAUUGACAGCAUAUAGUAUGGGCAGGUUUUCUGUUGGUGAAAUUCCUGAUGAUUUGAGGCGUUCCAAGCGUGCGCUGGGUGCUGAUGUGCCCGACGGAACAUUGGAGUGCAGGCUGGCAACUGCAGAGGAUUCUGGGCCAGGAUAAUGGAUCGGUGUGGAUGGAGGUCAGGAGGGGAAGUUUUCCCUGUUUUCUCUUCUCCUCCUCUAUAACUGGACCUACAGUUAGUCUGUCUGGACGUUCAUCUCUGGAAGCUUCCCUUUUCCCCUAACGUAAACAACAUGGGGCACCAGAAGUCUUUCAAUGGAUAAGGUGGUCACAGUCUGGAGUUCAAUCGAAUCCACCAAUGCUACGUUUACGCAGUAAUGUACUACUGCCUGCACACACGCUUCUAUUCGAUUGACUAUGUAUUCCUUUGCGUCACUUUACUAUAUAUUUGUAAAUACAGUGUAAUAAAGUCCAUUAUAAAGUCCAUUAUAACUACAUACUACCUCUCUUAUUACUUCUAGCACUUGUUAAUUUUGACUACACUCAUUUUAUUGUUUUUAUUGUUAUUGACUAAUGUAUUGCACUUCUUGCACCUGCAGUAAACUGUGUAUGUGACAAAUAAAAUUGGAUUUGAUUUCUUGUUCCGAAGAAAG